CACUGGUGGUGCAAAAUAUCAAGUGUGUAAUCUUUGACUUUGGCUGCCCCCACUCCUUUAUGGCCUUCACUGCAGCCUCUUUCCCUAGCUUUGGUACCUCUACCACCACUAUGUCUUGCCUCGCAUCCAAAGAAGGUGCCAUGUAAGCACACAUGUUAGGAUUCUCCUUCAGUAUCUCCUCGUCCAGGUGCAUAUAUCUCUUCUUUAUCAUCGACUUGUCACCUGAAAUAUUUUAAACCAAUAUGAAUGUUAAUCAUCUUCAUUGAACAUCAUAAACUUGUUAAAUUUAGGAUUUUGGUAGAUAUGAGAAGAUGAGAGGACUUACACAUGCGCUGGAACUUCUCUUUGAGGUCGGUCAUGUGCUCACUGUUUGUGAUUCUGAAGUAGUAAUCAGGAUAUGUGCUUUGAUCAACACAGUUUGAUGGGGUUGCAGUUCCUAUGGCAAGGAUGGUUGCUGGGCCUUCUGCCCUUUGAGCCUGGCGGAUCUCGGAUACACUCACCAUCUUAGUUUUCUUGAAUAGAACCAAUGAAGUGGUGAUUUUGACGAUGGUUUAGAACACCGAAUCAAGCACUGCGAUUUGGUUAAAAGAUGAAAGAAGUGACCAAGUUCACAGCACUUGAGUGGUAGAGAGGGUUGUUGGUUUGGUUGCUGAAGUUGUGUGUUUGAAGAUGUUGGAGGAGUUAGCAUUUUAUAUGUAUGCAAGGGUGGAUAGGAAGUAGGGUAGGUGAGUAUCACGUGCAACACCAAAGCCUUCUUACGUUGAAAACAUAUAUUUUUUGCACUGCCUACCAUGUCUGCUUCCUAGUUCGUGAGGUAGGAGUUUGGUGGCAUAUUUUUGAAGACCAUCUCCAUCCACAUAUAACUCAUUCAUUCAUUCACUGUUAAAUUUAGUAACCAAUAAUUGGUGAUAUUUUAUGCAUCUCUACCCUAUGAAAAUAUUUAAUCACAGUGCGUCCAACUUUUUGUGUGUUUUUAACUUUUAAUUUGAGUCAAGCUUGGUAGCGCAGCAAGAUUGUCUACCACUUGUAUUGGUAGGUGGACUGUUAAAUAACAUCGACGGCCACAAUCAAAUGAAAGUAAAUUCUACGGGCAGAUUUGCGCCACGUCAGGUUUUUGAAUUGCACAACACUACCUCUUUCAUAUAUUUUAUUGUAUAUUUUCUACUUGGUUACAUGGUUGGUCAAGGUCAAGCAUAAUUGAGUUCUAUUAAGCCAAAAAAAAAUGUGGGCACUGAAUAUUUUAAUUAAAUUUCAACGAGAGAAGUUUAUUCUUGAACGGUCAAGGUAAUAGAGCUACCUACCCAUUUUGAACCAAAGAAGCAUUUUUAGUUUGCUUGAUGCUCCUUUAUUUAUACAAUAACAAGUUUUUAGAUAACAUUUUCGGUAUAUGUUUGUUGAUGUUACUGAACUAUAAGAGUAUCUCCUUUUUAUCUGAAUAAAUAAAAGAGAAAAGUUUUGUUGAAAUAUGAAGAGUAAAAAACACUUUUGACAUUGUUUAUCAUAAUAUAAUAAUAUUUUUAAAUUAAUAUAUAUAUAUAUAUAUAUAUUAAUUUAUUAAAAGGUGAAGGGUAUGUUUUUACUAUUGAGAGUUUUAAUAUAUUACCAUCCUAAAUAAAAACGAUACCUGUGAGAAGUAAUUUAAUCAUGACUUAUUUAUCAUGGGUUGAUAUAACUAAAGUGCCGGAGUUAAAUAUUGUAGUGGUUUAGAAUUCCACAUUUGUCCAAUAAUAAUAAUAAAAAGAUAAUAAUAAAAAGUUAAUUGUAAUUUGUAUUUUUUUUUAUCAGCAAAGAAUUAAGUAAAUUAAUGAUACUUCAGGGUAUUCCAACUCUUAUACAAAUACCAUCAACAAGUCUAAAGAAAAAAUAAGAAUAGCAACUACAAAGAGUGACAUAAAGCUGCAUAAUAUCUAGCGGAACCAAAGUUUUCAUCCACAACUUGGUUACCGAACACAAAGGAAGAAAAUGUAGGGACCUAAGUCCCCUUCCCACAUCAAUGUUGAUCUUACAUUUGCAUCGUACAUCACAACAGCUUGCCCAAAAACCUUCCAAAAAUCCUUGGUCUAUCAUUGCAUGAACUCCACAUACACUGCCAUUUUGUUCCAUCAUUUUAUCUAAAACGAGUCUUAGGUGAUUGGCAAGUGGAAUGGCACGUUGGCUCUCUCACCCCUACUUCUUUCUUAGGUGGCUUUGAAGAAAGUAUAUCAUCUCCAGCUUAUGAAUAUGAAUGUGUGUCCACAUUUUUUAUUUUUAUUAUUGUAUGUAUAUUAUUAUAUGUGUAUUCGUAUAUUUUAAAUGUCAAAUAUCACUAAAAAAAAUAAGAUAAAAAUAUUUUCUCUCAUCAACUAUGAGUUUCAACAUACAACAUACAAUUUUAAUAAUUAAGUUAUAGUACAAAAUAUAUUACACAAAUUCAAAUUUAUAACACAAUGAACAUAAUUAUAUUAAAGCAAUUACGUCAUUUGUUUCAUUCUCAAGACUUGUAAAUCAUUAAUUUUGAUUUGUUACUAAUAUAAAAUUAAAAAAGAAAUAUAAUAAUGAAAAGAAAAAGAAGAAGAAUAAGAUGAGAAAGUCCCACUACAAGAAAAAAAUCAAUUUAUCUAUCGAAGAAUUCCAUAGGUAACAAUCAAAAUUCGUAGGUAAGUCAACAUGACCUAUGGAAUACCACAAAACAAAAUUCGUAUGUAGUGUGUUCGUGGGUAAUGAAGACAGGAGUUACCCACCAACUCCAGUCCAUGAGUAAAUCCAAAAAUAAUUCAACAUAUUUUAUUUUUAAAUUUUCAAUUAUUAUUUGAAUCUUUUUUUUUUAUUAUUAUUAUUGUAGUGUAACAUUUAUUUUAUUUUAUUUUAAGAUAAUUGAAUUUAAUGUACUAAAAAUAAAAUGUUUUUUUUAAUCAUCUAAAAGAGUUAGUAUUAAGAGUGACAAUAGACUUGGUUUUAGGUAAAGUCUUAUUUAAAAUUUGUUAAUAAAAAUAAUAUAAAGAAGAUAUUUCAAUAAGAUAUUAAAAAAAUUAGUCAUCUUCAUUAAAAUAUUUUGUAGCAAAAUUUGAUAAGAUACUCUGAUACAUUUACAUACAUAUAGAGGAAAAAUGGACGCAAAAAAAUAAUUAUUUUUAAUCAAGCCUUCUAACAAUUCUCAUACUUGAAUUCAUAUUUUUAUCUUAAUUGAAUGAAUUGAAAUAUAAAAUAAAUUUUUAAUUUUUCAGCAGAAGAAAUAAUUAUUUUUAUAAUUAAUAAUUUUUAAAAAAAUAUUUUUUUAUGCGGGUUGACCCGCACACCUCUUAUGCGGGGCGGGCUAGUGAAAUAAACCUGCAUUCCUUGCAUAGGGCGGACCAAACACAGAACAAGCCUAUACGAGGCGAGUCAACCUGCAUUGUCAUCCUAAUUAGUAAUUAGAAUGACACUAAGUUGACUCUUGAACUUCUUGAUAUACAAUUUGUUAUUUUAAAUUAUGAUAUUUUAUUGAGUUUUUUAUAUUUAAAUUUUGUUACAACACAUAUGACACACAAGUUUAUGACACAUAAGUUUACAACGACAGUUGGUAACUACAGCUUCAAUAACUAAUUAUUUUUUGUAUUUAAAUUUAUUGCUAUUUAAAGAUUUUUUUUUUGGAAUGUAAUAUAGGGUUUAAUGACUCAGAUAAACAAGAUUUAAUUGAUCAAUUUUAAGAUUACUUUUAAAAUUUUGUAUCUAUAAUUUUAAAAUAAUAUUUUCAUCAUUUAAAAGAGAUAAUCACGGUUAAAUGUUUUGUCACAUAUAUAUGCAGAAUUACUAAUUAGUGUGAGAUGUAAAAUAGGAUUAUCGGUAGCCUGCAAUAUAGUUCUCAUGUUUGUGUUGGUAAUAUUGAAGACUCUUUCUUUUGGCUUCUACUAAACUUAUAGAAGGUUGCUAAACUUUUCAAGAUAUUAAAAGAGUAAAUGAGUAAUAUAUCCCAUCUUCAAGAAUGCAUGGUAUAACUUGGUUUGUUGCAACAAGAUGAUAAAUAAAUUAUAGUUACAAUUCAUGAGAUAAACAUAUGUUUUUUAUUCUUUUGAUUUCAAACCACAUUUAAGCCUGAACUUGUGUGAGAAGUUAGUUGGAAAGAGUUUUGUGGUGAUAUUUUCCCCAAGUAAAGAAGAAUUCUCAAAUGGCUUAAAGUUCUCUACCACAAAUAUAAGAAAUCCUUCAAUUCAAUGGUAUGACAUUUUUCUCAAUUGAUAAUGUCACAAGCUGUCAAGAGUUGAAUUUUAAUGGCACUUAUUUAUCAUAAUGGUUGAAUCAACAUAUUUCUUCCACGUUGAUGAUAAUUUUUUUUGUUUAAUUUUACCUUUUCAAUAUCAAACUUUGUAAAUAUAUUUUCAUGAGUGUCAUUAGACAACUAUUUAGAUCUCUUGAGUUGAAAUACCUAUAAAUAUUAAAUUCAAAAAAUUUAUUAUGAUUCCAAUGAUUGAUAAAGUUUAUUUAUUCUAAUAUUGUUGAAAACUUUAACAACAUUUUUUUUAUCAGCAAAGAAUAGAAUAUAAUAUAAUAAAGAGAUACUUCAGUACCUCAAUCUGUAUACAAAAUUCAUGAAAUCCAACACUAAACCAGCUCAUAUACAAUAACCAUGAGACCCAAUACAAACUAAAGAAGAGAUCCUACAACCAGCUCCAAUACAUACACAAGAGUCUCAAAAUCCACCUAUGAGCAAAGAAAACAUAGAUAGGACCUAAAGAAUCUCAUUCUUCGGUGCCUAUUAAAGACAAAGGGAGUGUGGCCACAAAAGCUUAUAUACACAGUUAGGCAUUCAAAGAUAAUGGCUUAGAAACCAUGUGCAUUUUCCUAGUGACUCCAGCACAGUUGCAACUUGAGUAAGGCAUAGAGACUACCACGUGUCAAUACAACAAAUCAUAUGCACUAAUGUCCUCUUUUUUCUUAUCAGCAACGAAUUAAUGAAAUAAAAGGGACAAUUCAUAAAUGUCUUAACCCUUAUACAAAGAAAAGCCAACUAAGAUAAACAACAGAAUAGGCAACACAAAGCCUAGCUAACAAAACAUCAACUUAAGAGCAUCGUUUGUAUCUUAGUCUAACAUAAACACCUACACCUAAAUGAUACUACACCAUGUGUUGUCACAAGAGACCCAAACACCAACUAUAAAACAAACCUGUGUUGCAGAAGGCACCGAAUACAACUUCACCUACCUCUUUGAGUGCUAUCUGCUCACAUCCCCAACUCACCGACUCCAUCUAUCAUAUCAGCGUAGUACCUCAUGAUCCCCUUUUAUACCUUGUUUUUGGUUUAAUGGCUACCAUUCUACACUUAUCCUCCGAACCUGGUAUACCCUUCCCCCUUACAACCUACCCCCUUACAUUCAAUUGUCAAUAACAGCAGCAUCUCACACUAAUGCCCUGUUAUUCAACAUUUCUUAUUCAACAUCAAGUUAUUUAAUUCUUACUUUACAGAUUGCUUUAAGUAAACAAAUAUAUCACGACGUGGCAUUAAAAAAAAUAUUUGAAUUAGAAUUCUAUAUAUAAAGAAGAGGAUGUUCACAGGUUGAUAUCAAAGUUGUUUUUUCCACUUAAAUGCUUUGCUCAAAGAACUAAUAUUUAAAUUGUCACUCCGUGGAAAGAUGUUGCUAGACUUUUAAAAAAAAUAAUAACAAAUACAUAAUAGAAACAGAUAAUGAUCAUAAAAGAUAAAAGAUGUAAUUUUAUAUGGUUGUUAUUAAUUAGGCUAAAAGGCCACCAAACCAUGUAUAGUUUUAAUGUAAAUUACAACCUCCAGCAAGUUCUAAAAUUGGUACAUAAUAAAAUAAUAUGAUAGGGGCAUGGUGGGUGUUAUACUGCGACACUGUGGAGAACAACGGUCUCAAUGGUAAGUCCAGGUCCGAAACCAAAUAAAACACCCCAUUCAAGUCCUUCACCUGUGGUUUUAAGUCCAUUUUCAGCUGAUUUCCUUCUCAUCUCAUCCAAGAUGAAAAGCACACAUGCACUUGACAUGUUUCCGUAAUCACUCAGCACAUCUCUAGUGGCCUUCAUCUUUUCAGGUUUCAGACCCAAUUUUUGCUCAACUUGGUCUAGAAUUGCAGGUCCACCAGGGUGUGCAAUCCAGAAGAUGGAGUUGUAAUCAGAGAUGUUCAAUGGGUUGAAGGCCUCAAAAAGUGCCUUCUCAAUGUUCUUUGAGACAAUCCCAGGAACAUCCUUAAGGAGGUGAAACGUGAGUCCAACUUCACGUAGGUGGCCAUCAAUAGCACCAUCACUGUCUGGAGCAAUGGUCUGUGCAGUCCAAACCAGUUCAAACAAAGGCUUCUCAAUCUGUGGAAUUGGGUCAGAACCAACAAUCACUGCAGCUGCUCCAUCUCCAAACAAUGCCUGACCCACAAGACUGUCUAGGUGGGUGUCACUUGGCCCACGGAAAGUCACUGCAGUGAUCUCAGAACACACCACAAGCACACGGGCACCCUUGUUGUUCUCAGCCAAAUCCUUGGCCAAUCGAAGAACCGUGCCUCCAGCAAAGCAUCCUUGUUGGUACAUCAUGUACCUCUUCACAUAAGGCCGAAGUCCCAAGAGUUUGGUGAGCUGGUAAUCAGCACCAGGCAUGUCCACACCACUGGUGGUGCAAAAUAUCAAGUGUGUAAUCUUUGAUUUUGGCUGCCCCCACUCCUUUAUGGCCUUCACUGCAGCCUCUUUCCCUAGCUUUGGUACCUCUACCACCACUAUGUCUUGUCUCGCAUCCAAAGAAGGUGCCAUGUAAGCACACAUGUUAGGAUUCUCCUUCAGUAUCUCCUCGUCCAGGUGCAUAUAUCUCUUCUUUAUCAUCGACUUGUCACCUGAAACAUUGUAAACCAAUAUGAAUUUUAAUCAUCUUCAUUCAACAUCGUAAACUUGUUAAAUUUUGGAUUUUGGUAGAUAUCAAAAGAUGAGAGGGACUUACACAUGCGCUGGAACUUCUCUUUGAGGUCGGUCAUGUGUUCACUGUUUGUGAUUCUGAAGUAGUAAUCAGGAUAUGUGCUCUGAUCAACACAGUUAGAUGGGGUUGCAGUUCCAAUGGCAAGGAUGGUUGCUGGGCCUUCUGCCCUUUGAGCCUGACGAAUCUCGGAUACACUCACCAUCUCAGUUUUCUUGAAUAGAAGUAAUGAAGUGGUGAUGUUGAGAUGGUAGAGAGGGUUCUUGGUUUGGUUACUGAAGUAGUGUGUUUGAAGAUGUUGGAGGAGUUAGCAUUUUAUAUGAAUGCAAGGGUGGAUAGGAAGAAGAGUAGGUGAGCAUCACGUGCAUGACCAAUUGCCACUUUACGUUGCAAACACAUUUGUUGUAGUGUUAGUAUAUCAUGUGGUAGUUUGUGACGUAGAGUUUGGUGGCAUAUUUUAGAAGACGAUAUCUACCUCCGUUAACUCGUCAUCUAUCUUUGAAUUGACCAACCAAUAAUUGGUGAUAUUUUAUCACGUGUGUCGAACUUGGCCGUGGAGUGAAAAUAUUGAAUGAAUUAUUCUCCUACCGUCCAUCAACUACAGAUGCUGUGGGUUGACUUUUUUAAUCCAGGGUUAAUUUAUGCUAAUGCUGUUAUUUAGUUUUACUAGUUUUAAUCAAAAGUUGUUUAGAACUUUAAGAGUUGUAAAGUAUAUUUUCCUAAAUAAUUAACACAGUUUUGUAACGUUAAUUGGAGUGAACGGUGGUAGCGCAGGAAGAUACCGGAGGCAAUAGUGUUGGUAGGUUGCAGGUGAAGUAAUCGAACGGUCACAAUGAAAUCCCAAUUAAAUCAGAGACCACUAAUUCUUCAUAUUGUUUUAUUGUACAUUCUCUCCUGUUGGUUACUUUCGUUUGUCAUCAUCAAGCAGCAUUAAGUUCUAUGAACCCAUAAAAGAAUGUGCCCACUCAAUAUUUUAAAUUAAAAUUCAAAGUGAUUAGUUCAUUCUUCUACGGUCAACCUAUUAGAGCUACCAUUCUUUUGAUUUGCCCUUCUAUUUAUAUCAUAUUUUUUAAUAACAUUCUUUAAAUGCUUUUUUUUUUCAUAUUUCAUAUUUUAAAAUUUGUUACUUGAUUUUUUAUUAACUAAUUAGAUAUCAAUUUAAAAUUUAUUUAUUAAUAAUAUAAAUUAUUUUAGAUACUAAUAAAUUUUGUAGUCUUUAAAAUAAUAUAUAAUUUAGUGAACACAGUAACUAAUUACUUUUUAUCUUUAAAAUUAAUUUAUAUUUAAUUAUGUUUUUAGUAAAUGGAAUUUUUUCACUCGUGGAUCAUUAGACCAAGAGAUUUACCCGUUGGAAAACGAUUAUUUUGAAGUUCGUAAAUGAGACUCGAUUAGGUGGCUAGGGACUGUUUGAUGGUUUCCUCAGUAACAUUUUCAUUUUUAUAUUUUUGCAAGUGUUGGCAUGUAAGUUUACAAUGAGUGACUUUGGGUAGGCGUAUGUAAGUGUUGAUAAGUUUUUUCAAAGUUAAUGUCGAUUAGGAUUAUAUAACCGAACAUGGAUUGUCUACUUGUAAGAAUAAUUGACUUCUAGUCGAUCAAAAGAUAGUCAAUCACUUAAUUAGGUGACAGAUGAAGAUCUGCAAGCAGAGUUGGUUAAAGAGGAGUUAACUUUGAGUCUUAGGUACAAAUGGUAGAACCAAACAUGAAAAAAUAUUUUGCAAAGUAUAAAGUGGUCCUUUAUGUUUUAUGCUUUGCUUAUAGUGUAAUUUAUUAUUAUUUUUACUUUAAUUUACAAAUUUAAAGAAGUUUAUUUUUUACAUUUAAUUUUUUUAAAAAAAUUAUUUUAUAAAUUAUUUUCUAGAUGCAUUUAUAUACAAUAAAAUUUGUACUCACUUUCACUAAAUCUACAAUCUCACUUUCCACACUGUUUUUAUCUUUUUUUUUAUCUCGUCAUUUUCUUAAUCUAAACACAUUUUGUUUUGAUUGGGAGUGGAGAGAAAAACAAAAUGAUUAGAAAGAUAAUACAAAAUUAGUAUGUUUGGAUUAAAGAAAAUUAAAUAUAUUUGAAUAUAAAGUUUGUAGAUAUGAUUGAUUUUUUUUUUAAUUUUAAUAAUAUUAUAUUAUUUAUUUUACUAUAAUAAUUAAAAACGUAAAUAUGAAUAAAAAAUUAAUCAAUAUCAAUCAAUUAUGUUCAAGACAUAAUCGAUUAUGAAAGACAAAAACAUAAUUGAUUAUGAAUGAGAAUAUAAUUGAUUGUGACUACAAUUUGCAUAAAAAAGUAAAAAUAAAAAAAUGACUUCAAUUUACAUCACCGGUGCAGAAACACACAACGAGUGCGGCUAUUUUGAAUAUAUAAAUGUGGAUAUAUAGCUGCAUUUGAUCAACACGCACUUGUAAAUCGAAGAGAUACAAAUGCGGUUAUAUAUCCGCAUUUAUAAAUAUCAUUUAUAAGUGCGGCUAUUUCUUUUAGCCACAUUUGUAUAUGCUUCAGUAAAUAAAUAAUAAUAAUAAAUACGUUCAAAUGUAACCUAUAAUGUACAAAUUAUUUAUAAAUAAUAUAUAAAUUAUAAUACAUAAGAAAAUAAAUUCAAAAUAUUAAAGAAAAAUUCAAAAAACUUAAAACAGAACACUAACCUUAUGUAUGAACCAACAUUGGUGGUGAAGAGUGGCAGGAGAGUGCCAGCAAUGACGACGGCAACGGAAGCGGUGGCGGAGCAGCAAUGGAGAUGAGAAUGUCAAUGGAACAGUUCAACCACAAUGCAAGGAGAAAAAACAAAUAUAAGGAAAACGAAAAAAAUUUAUACGUAGUUAAGAUGUAGAGGAAGAAAGCAAUUCAAGAAACUCACAAUGGCACAAAUUAAUGAAGAUGCAGAAGAAGAGAAGAACUGCAAGCGUACGCGAGCGCAGGAACGGUGAAAACGAAAGGCAAAGUGGAAAAGAAAAUAUGAAAGUGGUGUGGUGCAAUUCAAAUUUUAGGGUAAAAAAUGAUUUACAAGUGCGACUAUUCAAAUAGCCAGCCGCAUUUGUAAAUUAAGCGCUUUGAUUUACAAGUGCGGCUAUACAAAUAGCCGCAUUUGUAAAUCAAAUUAAUUACAAAAAUGUCACCGCGUUUUUUACGGAUGUGUUUGAGCGCAAAACCGCACUUAAUAAAUAAUAUUCUUUUCAUCAUUUUGUACUAGUGCAUAAAUCUUUUUGUCAGAAAAUUUGUAUUUUUUCAAUUUUUAGUCCACACUACUUCUUUUUUUGUCGUUAGAUCCAAACACAGAAUAUAUUUUUCUUUAUCAAUUGUUCUCACAUUGAUGUUGCAUAAUUACACUCCUAUAAAUUUUUUUUAUGUAAUUUUCUACAUAAUUUCGUCUCACUCAAUCAAAAUGUUAUGGAUGAACAUUUAUUUAAAUUUCUAAGCAACUUGUCUCCCACACCUUUGAGGAUCAAUCAUAUAUUAAUGGACUAUUUUUUUUAUACAAUUUUCUCACUAAGCAUGUCUCUACACUCAAUUGGGUGCAACUUACACUCAAUUUUGAAAGAUUUUUUUAUUCAUUGAAUUAUAUGUAGAUAUGUAGAUAUUUUAAAGGAUAUUUUAUAAUGAAAAAUGUUAUAUGUAGAAUAAAUUGUACAAAAUUUAUUUAUAAAGAAGAGAAAAUAUAUAAACCAAAGUAUGAAAUAUCAUACGAUAUGAAGAAAAAAUAAUAGAAAUAAAAUGUAUUAUUAUAUAUAUUAUUACAUAAGUAAAAAUAAGGACAAAAGAGGAAAAUACUACCAUUCUAAAUGACUUUCUCCUCGAAUAUUUACAUAUAAGUAGAGGGAAAAAAAUCACUACCCAAUUCAAAUCAUAGAUAUCUCCUCACAUAAUUUUUGUAAACAAUAAAUUCUUAAAACAGACAUAUAAUAUGAAUGGAACUUCUUCUCUUAGUAUAUCUUCCUUUCCCAUGAGUCAACCUCCUCUUAUGUCAUUUUCCACAUUAACAUUAUGUACAAAUCUUAUAGAUAAAUUUCUAAGACGGUUUUCUAUGAGUAUGUUUCUCAUAAUUAACAAUGUGAUUGAAAUUACAAACUUAUAGUUAAUUGAAAUUCUGUUAUAAUUUUAUAUAUUAACACAUAUUCCUGACCAAUUUUCUCAUCUUUGUUUUGUUGUAUUCACGGUCCAGUUUUUCAUUUUCAUUCCAAUUUUAACUCUUGUAAAUUAAAUGAAUAGCAAAAUACAGUUUAUAACAAGUUUUUAUUAUGCUUUUCAAUUUUGUUAAAAAACUACCACCAUCAUACUUGUUCAUUCUAAUUUGUAUUAUUUUAAAAUAUAUUGAAUCUUUUUCACAUUAUACUUGAUAUCAAUUUUUUUUUAUUCUUUUCAAUUUUGCUAGAAAAAUACACUAUCAAGCAUUUCCCCAAUUUUACGUAAUUUCCAAAAUAAAAAAAUUACAACAAUUUAUUGUAGUAUUUAUUUUAUGUGAUAAUUUAUUAUUUCAUAUUAGACAGGUAAAGAUUCAUGCAAAAAUAAAAAAAAUGUCAAGUAAUAAAAAGGCAAAGUAUUUGGAACAUGGUUUCUAUUUUUUGCACAAUUAAUUUUGGAAUCAAUAAAAUAAAAAUUAUACAUUCUUAAUUCUUAUUAUUAUUAUAUAUUAUAAAUAAAACUUAAAAAAAAUACAUAAAAAAAUCAAAAAUAAAAUCUGAAUGCGGAAACAACAGGGUAAGGCAUGGUGUGAGUGUUAUAUUGCGACACUAUGGAGAACGACUGUUUCGAUGGUAAGUCCGGGUCCAAAACCAAACAAAACACCCCAUUCAAGUCCUUCACCUGUUGUUUUAAGUCCCUUUUCAGCUGAUUUCCUCCUCAUCUCAUCCAAGAUGAAUAGCACACAUGCACUUGACAUGUUCCCAUAAUCACUCAGCACAUCUCUUGUGGCCUUCAUCUUUUCAGGUUUCAGACCCAACUUUUGCUCAACUUGGUCCAAAAUUGCAGGUCCACCAGGGUGUGCGAUCCAGAAGAUGGAGUUGUAAUCAGAGAUGUUCAAUGGGUUGAAGGCCUCAAAAAGUGCCUUUCCAAUGUUCUUUGAGACAAUCCCAGGAACAUCCUUAAGGAGGUGAAACGUGAGUCCAACUUCACGAAGGUGGCCAUCAAUAGCACCAUCACUGUCUGGAGCAAUGGUCUGUGCAGUCCAAACCAACUCAAACAAAGGCUUCUCAAUCUGUGGAAUUGGGUCAGAACCAACAAUCACUGCAGCUGCUCCAUCUNNNNNNNNNNNNNNNNNNNNNNNNNNNNNNNNNNNNNNNNNNNNNNNNNNNNNNNNNNNNNNNNNNNNNNNNNNNNNNNNNNNNNNNNNNNNNNNNNNNNNNNNNNNNNNNNNNNNNNNNNNNNNNNNNNNNNNNNNNNNNNNNNNNNNNNNNNNNNNNNNNNNNNNNNNNNNNNNNNNNNNNNNNNNNNNNNNNNNNNNNNNNNNNNNNNNNNNNNNNNNNNNNNNNNNNNNNNNNNNNNNNNNNNNNNNNNNNNNNNNNNNNNNNNNNNNNNNNNNNNNNNNNNNNNNNNNNNNNNNNNNNNNNNNNNNNNNNNNNNNNNNNNNNNNNNNNNNNNNNNNNNNNNNUACCACCACUAUGUCUUGCCUCGCAUCCAAAGAAGGUGCCAUGUAAGCACACAUGUUAGGAUUCUCCUUCAGUAUCUCCUCGUUCAGGUGCAUAUAUCUCUUCUUUAUCAUCGACUUAUCACCUGAAACAUUGUAAACCAAUAUGAAUGUUAAUCACCUUCAUUCAACAUCAUAAACUUGUUAGAUUUCUGAUUUUGGUAGAUAUGAGAAGAUGAGAGGACUUACACAUGCGCUGGAACUUCUCUUUGAGGUCGGUCAUGUGCUCACUGUUUGUGAUUCUGAAGUAGUAAUCGGGAUAUGUGCUCUGAUCAACACAGUUUGAUGGGGUUGCAGUUCCAAUGGCAAGGAUGUUUGCUGGGCCUUCUGCCCUUUGAGCCUGGCGGAUCUCGGAUACACUCA
rnacentral:lncRNA from 1 species